AGGAGGCAGCAGUGGGGAAUAUUGGACAAUGGGCGCAAGCCUGAUCCAGCCAUGCCGCGUGAGUGAUGAAGGCCUACGGGUUGUAAAGCUCUUUCACCGGGGACGAUGAUGACGGUACCCGGAGAAGAAGCCCCGGCUAACUUCGUGCCAGCAGCCGCGGUAAUACGAAGGGGGCAAGCGUUGUUCGGAAUUACUGGGCGUAAAGGGCGCGUAGGCGGCCGCGUGCGUCAGGUGUGAAAGCCCCGGGCUCAACCUGGGAACGGCACUUGAUACGGCGCGGCUGGAGAGCAGGAGAGGAGUGUGGAAUUCCCAGUGUAGAGGUGAAAUUCGUAGAUAUUGGGAAGAACACCAGUGGCGAAGGCGGCACUCUGGCCUGUAUCUGACGCUGAGGCGCGAAAGCGUGGGGAGCAAACAGGAUUAGAUACCCGCGUAGUCCA
rnacentral:rRNA from 1 species